GAUGAACGCUAGCGGCAGGCUCAACACAUGCAAGUCGAGGGGUAACAGGAAAAAGCUUGCUUUUUCGCUGACGACCGGCGCACGGGUGCGUAACGCGUAUAGAACCUACCUUUUACAGGGGAAUAGCCCAGAGAAAUUUGGAUUAAUGCCCCAUAGUAUUAUUGAAUGGCAUCAUUUAAUAAUUAAACAUUUAUGGGUAAAAGAUGGCUAUGCGUUCUAUUAGCUAGAUGGUAAGGUAACGGCUUACCAUGGCAACGAUAGAUAGGGGUCCUGAGAGGGAGAUCCCCCACACUGGUACUGAGACACGGACCAGACUCCUACGGGAGGCAGCAGUGAGGAAUAUUGGACAAUGGAGGCAACUCUGAUCCAGCCAUGCCGCGUGCAGGAAGACGGCCCUAUGGGUUGUAAACUGCUUUUAUAUAGGAAGAAACCUUUCCACGUGUGGAAAGCUGACGGUACUAUAAGAAUAAGCACCGGCUAACUCCGUGCCAGCAGCCGCGGUAAUACGGAGGGUGCAAGCGUUAUCCGGAAUCAUUGGGUUUAAAGGGUCCGUAGCGGACUA
rnacentral:rRNA from 1 species